rnacentral:rRNA from 1 species
AAUAGAUACCCUGGUAGUCCACGCCGUAAACGAUGAGUGCUAAGUGUUAGAGGGUUUCCGCCCUUUAGUGCUGCAGCUAACGCAUUAAGCACUCCGCCUGGGGAGUACGGUCGCAAGACUGAAACUCAAAGGAAUUGACGGGGGCCCGCACAAGCGGUGGAGCAUGUGGUUUAAUUCGAAGCAACGCGAAGAACCUUACCAGGUCUUGACAUCCUCUGACAACUCUAGAGAUAGAGCGUUCCUCUUCGGGGGACAGAGUGACAGGUGGUGCAUGGUUGUCGUCAGCUCGUGUCGUGAGAUGUUGGGUUAAGUCCCGCAACGAGCGCAACCCUUGAUCUUAGUUGCCAGCAUUCAGUUGGGCACUCUAAGGUGACUGCCGAUGACAAACCGGAGGAAGGUGGGGAUGACGUCAAAUCAUCAUGCCCCUUAUGACCUGGGCUACACACGUGCUACAAUGGAUGGUAUAAAGGGCUGCAAGACCGCGAGGUCAAGCCAAUCCCAUAAAACCCAUUCUCAGUUCGG